GGACCCAUAGCUCAACGGCAGAGCAGAGCCCUCAUAAGGCUUUGGUUGCAGGUUCGAAUCCUGCUGGGUCCACCA
rnacentral:tRNA from 1 species